rfam:Salmo salar isolate Sally breed double haploid chromosome ssa15, whole genome shotgun sequence.
UGGCUCAGUUGGUAGAGCAUGGUGUGUGCAACACCAGGGUUGUGGGUUUGAUUCCCAC